GAUGAACGCUAGCGGCAGGCCUAACACACGCAAGUCGAGGGGUAGAAUUAGCUUGCUAAUUUGAGACCGGCGCACGGGUGCGUAACGCGUAUGCAAUCUGCCUUGUACUGAGGGAUAGCCCAGAGAAAUUUGGAUUAAUACCUCAUAGUGUUAUUGAAUGGCAUCAUUUAAUAACUAAAGUUCCAACGGUACAAGAUGAGCAUGCGUCCCAUUAGUUAGUUGGUAAGGUAACGGCUUACCAAGACGAUGAUGGGUAGGGGUCCUGAGAGGGAGAUCCCCCACACUGGUACUGAGACACGGACCAGACUCCUACGGGAGGCAGCAGUGAGGAAUAUUGGUCAAUGGGCGCAAGCCUGAACCAGCCAUGCCGCGUGCAGGAUGACGGUCCUAUGGAUUGUAAACUGCUUUUAUACGGGAAGAAACACUCCUACGUGUAGGAACUUGACGGUACCGUAAGAAUAAGGAUCGGCUAACUCCGUGCCAGCCGCCGCCGUAAGAC
rnacentral:rRNA from 1 species